rnacentral:rRNA from 1 species
UACGGAGGGUGCAAGCGUUAUCCGGAUUUACUGGGUUUAAAGGGUGCGCAGGCGGAUAUGUAAGUCAGUGGUGAAAUCUCUAGGCUUAACCUGGAAAUUGCCAUUGAUACUAUAUAUCUUGAAUGCUGUGGAGGUAAGCGGAAUAUGUCAUGUAGCGGUGAAAUGCUUAGAUAUGACAUAGAACACCUAUUGCGAAGGCAGCUUACUAGACAGAGAUUGACGCUCAUGCACGAAAGCAUGGGGAUCAAACAGG